rnacentral:rRNA from 1 species
CCUACGGGCGGCUGCAGUGGGGAAUAUUGGACAAUGGGGGCAACCCUGAUCCAGCCAUGCCGCGUGUGUGAAGAAGGCCCUCGGGUUGUAAAGCACUUUCAGUGAGGAAGAACGCCUGGUGGUUAAUACCCAUCAGGAAAGACAUCACUCACAGAAGAAGCACCGGCUAACUCCGUGCCAGUAGCCGCGGUAAUACGGAGGGUGCGAGCGUUAAUCGGAAUUACUGGGCGUAAAGCGCGCGUAGGUGGCUUGAUAAGCCGGUUGUGAAAGCCCCGGGCUCAACCUGGGAACGGCAUCCGGAACUGUCAAGCUAGAGUGCAGGAGAGGAAGGUAGAAUUCCCGGUGUAGCGGUGAAAUGCGUAGAGAUCGGGAGGAAUACCAGUGGCGAAGGCGGCCUUCUGGACUGACACUGACACUGAGGUGCGAAAGCGUGGGUAGCAAACAGGAUUAGAUACCCUAGUAGUC